UACGAAGGGGGGCUAGCGUUGCUCGGAAUCACUGGGCGUAAAGGGUGCGUAGGCGGGGUCUUUAAGUCAGGGGUGAAAUCCUGGAGCUCAACUCCAGAACUGCCUUUGAUACUGAGGAUCUUGAGUUCGGGAGAGGUGAGUGGAACUGCGAGUGUAGAGGUGAAAUUCGUAGAUAUUCGCAAGAACACCAGUGGCGAAGGCGGCUCACUGGCCCGAUACUGACGCUGAUGCACGAAAGCGUGGGGAGCAAACAGG
rnacentral:rRNA from 1 species